rnacentral:rRNA from 1 species
GACGAACGCUGGCGGCGUGCUUAACACAUGCAAGUGGAGCGACGAACCAGAGCUUGCUCUGGGGCAGAGCCGCGAACGGGUGAGUAACACGUGGGUAACCCACCCCGAUGACCGGGACAA